rnacentral:lncRNA from 1 species
AAAAGUUGAACCAAUCACUUUCAUAGAAGUAUUUCAUUGGAUAUGUAACAGUUUGACGAACACUAAUUUUGAUCAUUGAGAAAUUUAAUAUUUCCUGAACAAUAGAAUGAUUAAAACGUUUAGCUGAUUUUACAGAGUUGUCUCCCUGAAGUGUUAGGUACCACCUUAAACUUAUAUGACGAAAAUAGAAAUGUAUAAUGUGGUGCUUAUGUAACACUUUUCUGCAUUAACUUUGAACAGGAACUUGCAAACUGUCAGUAUUUGUAUAACUUUGAACAGGAACUUGCAAACUGUCAGUAUUUGUAUAACUUGCUCAUUAGAUUACUGUGGAUUCAACAAUCCUUGGAUCAAGGAAAACUAACAAUUUUCGUAGAUCAUGGAAAACUAACAAUUUUCGUGGAUCAAGGAAAACUAAUACUUUCGUGGAUAUUUAGUUUAGUGGUUUUGCUAAUGUCUGCAUAGAAGUCUCCUGAAAAUUUGUAAUUCGUUUAACAUUAAAAUUCGUGGUUCACCUGUACCCACGAAAUCCACGAAAAUUGAUAUCCAACGAAAAUUAAUGAAUCCACAGUAUAUGAUUGAUUACUUUUUACUUUAAGCUAAAACCUGAUUAAGUUUCUAACACAUGUGUAAAGAUAUUAUAAAAAAUAAUGGAAUACUGAAUUGAAAGCAUUUCAUUAUGAACUGGGUUGUAUUUAUGAAAACGAGGUUCUCGUAUGCAUUCUGAAUUAAAUAUAGACCUUGUAUCCAUUACUUGUGUCAAGUUAUAUUUUAAUAGAGCUGCUAAAUAAUCUUCAAAUGAGGGGAUCUAAAUAUUUCCCAAUUUUGAUUUUCAAAUGAAACAAAUGGAUAAAAAAAUAAUCAUAUUCAUAUAAAGAGUGAUAUUAUAAUCUGAUUAUUUCCUAAACAAAUUACUCUAGACGACUAAAAAUUUAGUAUCUUUUGAAAGUUAUUAAUUGCAAAAUGAUUAAUUAACCCUUUUCUUCAAUUCAUCUGAAUAUUUGUGAAAAUUUUGUAAAGAUUGAUAGACACUAUUAUAGUUAUAUUAAUACAUAAAAAGGUUCAUUUAUCUUCCCAGGUUUUUCUGUUGAACAUGCAUUGCAAACAUGUUGUAGUUGUUAUCUAGUACAUGCAUAUACAUUUAUUUAUUCACAUCAUAGUUUUUUUUUCUGAAAAUGAGGUGAAGUUUGUUAUUUUUGCUCAUUAUUUGAAUAUGAAUUUGAAUAUAUUGUAAUAUUCACUCUGUAGGGA